AGAAAAGUGAUCAGGACCACUCCCGAUGCAUGGCUUCCCCAUCUCUUCCUGGGUAGGCCCUCUUGGGGAAAUAUCCCCACCUCUGUACCCAUGAUUGAGUCUUUAGGCAUAGAUAUCUUACUAAAGGAAUUUUUUGCUACCCUCCAUUCUUAGGGUUGUGACUUUCAGAGGAGAAAAUUCUCAGAACAGAUUAAAGCAGGUUAAACUCCAAGUUGCCAAUUUUCAUUGCAUAAGAAAUGAUUUCAUCAAGAACAUUGUGAUGAUACUCUUUAAAUAUUUAAUUGAGUAUGUAUUUAUACUUUCUAUACCCUUAUGUUAAAUAUCCUGUUACAGGAAAUGUUAAGAGUGGGAGAAAGGAAAAGGAUCUACUUAGUCAUUUCCUUUAGGCUUAAACUAUUUUCCAUCUUGAAAACACAAAUAGUAACAAUAUUCCAUGGUGCCUAACUUCUUUAGAAAAUCAUAUAUAAAAAUAUACAUAUAUAUGUGUGUAUGUGUGUAUUAUAUAUAUAGAAAUGUUCUUGGGUACCAUUUAAAUUUCUGGUUAUUUUUUCUUUAUAGUACAUUUGAAUGUUCCAAGUACAACCAUCAUUUUAUUUAACAACCAUUUAUUAAGCAACUACUGAGUUGCAAGUGCCACUGUAGAUAUACAUAAACAAAUAAAAUACAGUCCUGUCUUUUCAUAAAGGCUUUUAAUCUAGUGAGAUGGGGGUUACUGGGUUGAGUAGUGUCUCUCCAAAAUUAAUAUCUAUCUGAACCUCACAAUGCAACCUUAUUUGGAAAUAGGGUCUUUGCAGAUUUAAUUAAUUAAAUUAAGAUGAGGUUAGACUGGAUUAGGGCGAGCCAGGAAUGCCAAGGAUGGUGAGCAACUAUGAAGAGCAGGAGAAGGAAGGAAGAACGCCCUUACAGAGCUUUCAGAGAGAGCACAGCUCUGUAUAACACCUUGAUUGCAGACUUCUGGCUCCAGAAUGCUUCUUCCUGCAGAGCAUCCCCUCAGUAAAUCAUGGCACCUGAAUCUCCAUCUUGGACUCUGCUUCUGAAAACUGAACAUGAAACAGUAUAAGUCCAGCCACAUCCAAUGAGCAUGGCUGAAAUGUCUUCCAUAUCGAUCUUGAGGAGGGUCUGAUAAAGUGGCUGAACA
rnacentral:lncRNA from 1 species